AAUGCGGGAAACCGUGAUGGAGCGACGCCGCGUGUGCGAUGAAGGCCCUCGGGUUGUAAAGCACUGUCAGUUAACCCUAACCCCUGGGGUGAAUAGCUUUCAGGGUUGAAGUGUUAGCAGAGGAAGCACCGGCUAAAUCCGUGCCAGCAGCCGCGGUAAUACGGAUGGUGCAAGCGUUAUUCGGAAUCACUGGGCAUAAAGGGCACGUAGGCGGCGUCGUAAGUCAGUGGUGAAAUCCCCCGGCUCAACCGGGGAACUGCCAUUGAUACUGCGAUGCUAGAGUGUGGGAGGGGCAGACGGAAUUCCAGGUGGAGCGGUGAAAUGCGUAGAUAUCUGGAGGAACGCCAGGGGCGAAAGCGGUCUGCUGGCCCACAACUGACGCUGAGGUGCGAAAGCUAGGGGAGCAAACAGGAUU
rnacentral:rRNA from 1 species